UACGAAGGGGGCUAGCGUUGCUCGGAAUUACUGGGCGUAAAGGGCGCGUAGGCGGCACUGUUAGUCAGGCGUGAAAGUCCUGGGCUCAACCUGGGAACUGCGCUUGAUACGGCAGAGCUAGAGGAUGGAAGAGGCUCGCGGAAUUCCCAGUGUAGAGGUGAAAUUCGUAGAUAUUGGGAGGAACACCUGCGAUGUAGAUGGCUUACUGGACCGUAACUGACGCUGAGGCACGAAAGCGUGGGUAGCAAACAGG
rnacentral:rRNA from 1 species